rnacentral:rRNA from 1 species
CCUACGGGUGGCAGCAGUGGGGAAUAUUGCGCAAUGGGCGAAAGCCUGACGCAGCGACGCCGCGUGAGGGAUGACGGUCUUCGGAUCGGAAACCUCUGUCAGCAGGGAAGAACGGUCACUGUGCUAAUCAGCAGUGAAUUGACGGUACCUGCAAAGGAAGCACCGGCAAACUCCGUACCAGCAGCCGCGGUAAUGCGGAGGGUGCGAACGUUGAUGGGAAUUACUGGGCGUAAAGCGCGCGUAGGCGGUAGGUCAAGUGAAGGGUGAAAUCCCCGGGCUCAACGUGGGAACUGCCUUUGAAACUGGCAGACUUGAGUGUGGGAGAGGUUAGUGGAAUUCCAGGUGUAGCAGUGAAAUCCGUAGAUAUCUGGAGGAACAUCAGUGGCGAAGGCGACUAUCUGGCACAUAACUGACGCUGAGGAGCGAAAGCGUGGGUAGCAAACAGGAUUAGAUACCCUAGUAGUC